AUUGAACGCUGGCGGCAUGCCUUACACAUGCAAGUCGAACGGCAGCAUGGAGAGCUUGCUCUCUGAUGGCGAGUGGCGAACGGGUGAGUAAAGCAUCGGAACGUACCGUGUAGUGGGGGAUAACGUAGCGAAAGUUACGCUAAUUCCGCAUACGCACUGAGGUGGAGAGCAGGGGAUCGCAAGACCUUGCGCUAUACGAGCGGCCGAUGUCAGAUUAGCUAGUUGGUAGGGUAAAGGCCUACCAAGGCGACGAUCUGUAGCGGGUCUGAGAGGAUGAUCCGCAACACUGGGACUGAGACACGGCCCAGAUUCCUACGGGAGGCAGCAGUGGGGAAUUUUGUACAAUGGGGGCAACCCUGAUCCAGCCAUGCCGCGUGAGUGAAGAAGGCCUUCGGGUUGUAAAGCUCUUUCGGCCGGGAAGAAAUCGCACAGGCUAAUACUCUGUGUGGAUGACGGUACCGGCAUAAGAAGCACCGGCUAACUACGUGCCAGCAGCCGCCGUAA
rnacentral:rRNA from 1 species